CCCUGGUGGCUCAGAUGGUAAAGUGUCUGCCUGCAAUGCAGGAGACCCAGGUUCUAUCUCUGGAUCAGGAA
rnacentral:tRNA from 1 species